CAGACCGCGGGAAUACGUAGGGUGCGAGCGUUAAUCGGAAUUACUGGGCGUAAAGCGUGCGCAGGCGGUUGUGUAAGACAGGUGUGAAAUCCCCGGGCUUAACCUGGGAACUGCGCUUGUGACUGCACAGCUAGAGUAUGGCAGAGGGGGGUGGAAUUCCACGUGUAGCAGUGAAAUGCGUAGAGAUGUGGAGGAACACCGAUGGCGAAGGCAGCCCCCUGGGCCAAUACUGACGCUCAUGCACGAAAGCGUGGGGAGCAAACAGGAUUAGAUACCCCCGUAGUCCCUGUCUCUUAUACAC
rnacentral:rRNA from 1 species